rnacentral:rRNA from 1 species
AUUGAACGCUGGCGGCAUGCUUUACACAUGCAAGUCGAACGGUAACAGGUUAAGCUGACGAGUGGCGAACGGGUGAGUAAUGCAUCGGAACGUGCCCGGUCGUGGGGGAUAACGCAGCGAAAGCUGCGCUAAUACCGCAUACGAUCUGAGGAUGAAAGCGGGGGACCGUAAGGCCUCGCGCGAUCGGAGCGGCCGAUGUCAGAUUAGGUAGUUGGUGAGGUAAAGGCUCACCAAGCCAACGAUCUGUAGCUGGUCUGAGAGGACGACCAGCCACACUGGGACUGAGACACGGCCCAGACUCCUACGGGAGGCAGCAGUGGGGAAUUUUGGACAAUGGGCGAAAGCCUGAUCCAGCAAUGCCGCGUGCAGGAAGAAGGCCUUCGGGUUGUAAACUGCUUUUGUACGGAGCGAAAAGGCUCUCUCUAAUACAGGGGGCUCAUGACGGUACCGUAAGAAUAAGCACCGGCUAACUACGUGCCAGGAGCCGCCGUAA